rfam:Ictidomys tridecemlineatus contig078472, whole genome shotgun sequence.
GGGGCUGUAGCUCAGUGGUAGAGUACUUGCCUGGAACGUGUGAGGCACUGGGUUCGAUCCUCAGCACCA